rnacentral:tRNA from 1 species
GAUAGUUUGGCCGAGUGGUCUAAGGCGCCAGAUUUAGGCUCUAGUCCAAAACGGCGUGGGUUCAAAUCCCUAACUUUUA